GUUGAGCAAGAUAAAGAUUCUGUGGCUUAACUUUUUCUUCUAUUUCAUAGGAAUAACAAUAGGUCUGAGUAUUAAAUGUAACAAUGCCUUCAAAGAUUGCAGCAUGAUUAUAGGCAUUGUAGUAAACACGAAACAGAUGCUAGUCAGUACUAUCUCCUUUAUUAAUAUAGUGAUUCUCUUCAUGACCAGAAGAAAAGAAUCAUUAAAAACUGAGUAAUAACUGCUUUUACAUUUUAAUUUCUUGUGAUUUUCUUCCCUAACUUAAAAGAAUGUCACUGGCAACUAAGUCAUUGUUUCUGUCCCCCAACUUGGAGAUUUUUCACUUCUAUAGGAUCCCCUUUACAUAUACAAAGCAGGAUUCAAUGGAGAAAAGGCUUGGUUUUAGAGUGAAAGUCCUGGUUUCCAUUCUGGGCAAUACCCUACCCAAGUCUUGUUUACUGAGCAAAUGCACCCGUCCCUCAACUGUUGGCUGCUAAUUGCUCACAGCUGCCCCCUUCUCCAGGAAUUACCUUUGGCUGGGAGCUGCCUGGCCAGAGAAGUUAUGUCCCCUGCCAACCCCUGGAGAAGCACAUAGCCAUUGAUGGAUUGACAUGGAGUUUCAAAAGGCCAGACCCCUUCCUUUAGUGUAAGAAAAGCUGCAUGGUGUAAUCCAUGUUCUGUAGUUCCUUGUGGGAUUCAGCUAGACCUAGGCUCUGAGACCGCCUCCUCCCAUAUCUCCUUCCCCUGUCCUGUCCUGGUUCUUUCACUCCCUUGAAGAGACAUUCACAAUACAUUACCUGUGUCUGAAUCCUUGUCUUAGGCUUUGUUUCUGGAAAACAGAUCUAACCAAAUAUAUGUGAAAUACUUUGCUAUAAUGCCAUGGUAAACAGUUUUUUUGUAAGAUAACACAAUAAACAAACUCCAUCAUAAAAGAUAACCUCCAUUAGAAGGUUUUUAAGAAUAUCUUCAAUACUGAGAUUCCUUUUUUUUUUUUUCCUUUUUCCUUAGGUGGAUUAGCCCUGAGCUAACAUCUGUUGCCCAGCUUCCUCUUUUUUUGCUUAAGGAAGAUUAGCCCUGAGCUAACAUUUGUGCCAGUCUUCCUCCACUUUAUAUAUGGGUUGCCAUCCCAGCGUGGCUGAGGAGUGGUGUAGGUCCAUGCCCAGGAUCUGAAACCGUGGACCCAGGCCACCAAGUUGGAGCGUGCUGAGCUCAGCCGCUAUGCCAUAAGCCAGCCCCUAAGAUUUCUUUAAUAGGCAAAACAUUUAAGUUUCUUCAUUAAAAAAAUUAAAACUCCAAUAGAAUUAAAAACUGUAUUUAAACAAACUGAAUGGUGGAUUUCUUAACCAGAUUUAUUAAAGAACUUGGUAUUGCGAGAUCUGUGCUAGUUACUAAGAACAAAACGAUAAAUAAGACAGACACAGUCCCUACCCUCAAGGACCACGGAGGAGUUACACACACACACACACACACACACACACACACACUCCUACUUGAAAACCACAGUAACACUUGAAAAUUUCCAUGAAGUACAAAAACAUGAAAUAGAGAAGAACUAGAAGUGUAAAGUUAGUCAGAGAAGAUGUCUUUGAGCAGAUGGUAGUUUUUCUGAAACCUGAAGAAUAUGAGGAGCUUCUAACAGAGUAUGUUUGCAGAGAGAACAUCAUCAGGUGAAGAGGCCUCUAGGCAGGGUGGAUUUGACUUUUGCAAGAGGAUACCCAUGUGUCAGGAGUGUAGUGAGUGAUGGCGAGAGUGACGAGAUAAAGUUGAGCAGAUGGGAAAGACUGAGAUCACAUAGACUCUUCUGCCAUGCCAGGGAGUCUGGACUUCUGUCUGUACGUGGUGGGAAACCACUGAAGGACUGUAAAUGGUGGAAGGUGGGGAGUGACAUGAUUUGGUAAUGGGAUAGUGGAUUAUAAGAGGCAAGAAAGGAAGCAGGGAGACCAGUUAGAUGGAUGCGAGAUCACAUUGGAUAGGACAGGGUGGCUGCAGUAGAGAAGAGAGGAGGUAUUCUGAGAGCGUAUUUGCAGAUUGGUAAAUGUGGUAGUUCAGGGCCUGCAAAGGAGAGUUGGCAGGUGGAUUGAAUAUUAGGUAAGAAGACAAAAUGGGAGAAAUCAAGGAUAUGAUGCCAAAAGGUGGUGAAAAAACAUUUUAGGAGGAAAAAGAGCCCAAUUUUGGGCGUGUUAAAUGUGAAACUGAAAUGAGGCAUUAAAAGGGAGAUACUGAGUUGUAUGUAGCAGCCUAGAUGCACUGGAAAUAUUUAUCUAAUAGUCAAUGACAUAGCAACAUCUUUAAAGCUUUGAAAUGGAUGAGCCCAGUUAGGGAGAGAAUAUAAAGAUAAGGUGGCCUGAGACUCAGUACUUAAGUUGGCAAUUAGAAGGACUUGGGAAGAAGACUGGAAAGGAGGAGUUAGGAAAGAAGUAGAGAAAACCAUAGAGAUGGUACCACUGAAGUGUAAAGGGAGAAAAAUUCAAACAUGUUUAACUGUGUUGAAUGCUGCAAAAAGGUCAAUUAAAAUGAAAUUUGGGAAUGAAUGGUCCAUUGGAACUUGAAACUUACAGGAUUCAAUCAGAUGACCUUAAAAUUUGGGGAGUGGUAGAGACUCGGGCAGGUUGGAAUAGAUUAAAGAAUGAAUGGGGGUUGAGAGAGUAAAGUUACCAUCAGUAGAAAAAUCAGGGAGAAGAAGAGAAAUGAUUAGUUGAAAUGGAUUAUGAGAGUCGUGGAAACUUUUGUUUUUUAAACUGGGAGAUAGUAGAAUAUUGUGUGUGUGUAUAUUUUCAUUUGAUUUCAGAAACUUAUCAAAUUUGAGCGUUUUAUUUUUAGAUUUUAGUUUCAAAUAGCCUGUAGAAAUAGAAUGGUUUAAAAUGGACAUUUAAUGUAAAACUUACAUGCAGCAGUUAGUCAAGAGUUAAGAGAAAAAGUGGCAGCUGUUUGCUACAGUUUACAGCUUUUGAUCCUGGCUGUUUUGUUGCAGCCAGGGGACAUUUUGAAGUAAGCUGUUUGACAGUAAGUCCUUGUAGUAUAAUUGGAUAUUGAGCAAAUUACAGCCUCAGAGUGAGCCCUUGUAACCUUUACACUACAGAGUUCAAUAAAACUGCAGAAGACAAUGAAGAGGAAACAAGACUCAGAAAAGAGAAAGACAACAGAACAACCCAAAACUUGGUAUAUCAGCCUAUUGUUUGAGACAUACUGUAGAUUCCAGUGGGCCUUAGGACAGCGUUAAAAUGAGAGCCACAUUGAGUAAUUCUAAAAAUAUUAAUGAUACUAUUACUACGAAUAUAUACAUUUGUCAGAAUGAAAUUCUGAUGUCCAUUUGGAAAUAGUGGAUUUAGGCAUUCUCAACUCUUAGUGCCUUUAUUUUAGAUAAUUUUCAAAUAUUAAUUUGGGUCUCAAGGCUCAAAAUGUGUGAGGUGGUCCUAUUUAAGAUCACCUUGGAAUUAAGAUAUAUUCAUCAUAG
rnacentral:lncRNA from 1 species